rnacentral:rRNA from 1 species
GAUCCUGGCUCAGAAUCAACGCUGGCGGCGCGCUUAACACAUGCAAGUCGAACGAGAAAGCCCGCAAGGGUGAGUAAAGUGGCGUACGGGUGAGUAACACGUGGGUAAUCUACCUUUUGGUGGGGAAUAACGCUGGGAAACCGGCGCUAAUACCGCAUAAGCUCGAAAGAGGAAAGGAGCAAUUCGCCGAAAGAGGAGCCCGCGGCUGAUUAGCUAGUUGGUGAGGUAAAGGCUCACCAAGGCUAUGAUCGGUAGCCGGCCUGAGAGGGCACACGGCCACACUGGCACUGAAACACGGGCCAGACUCCUACGGGAGGCAGCAGUGGGGAAUCUUGCACAAUGGGGGAAACCCUGAUGCAGCGACGCCGCGUGAGCGAUGAAGCCCUUCGGGGUGUAAAGCUCUUUCGGCAGGGACGAUAAUGACGGUACCUGAAGAAGAAGCUGCGGCUAACUACGUGCCAGCAGCCGCGGUAAUACGUAGGCAGCGAGCGUUGUUCGGAGUUACUGGGCGUAAAGAGUGCGUAGGCGGUUUUCUAAGUUUGGUGUGAAAUCUCCCGGCUUAACUGGGAGGGUGCGCCGAAGACUGGAAGGCUUGAGUAUGGGAGAGGUAAGCGGAAUUCCUGGUGUAGCGGUGAAAUGCGUAGAUAUCAGGAGGAACACCUGCGGUGUAGACGGCUUACUGGACCAUAA